UCCAUCCUGGGGCACACCAACGUUUAGAGAUUUGGAAGAGGAGAGCUGUCAGAGGACACUGAGAAGUGGCAGUGACGUUGGAAGAAAAUAAGAAUGCUGUGUUUCUGGAGUCAAGUUAAAACUCCAUUUUAAAGAUGGAGUGGUCACCUGUAUCAGAUGUCCCCAGGAGGCCAAGGAAGAAUGCUCCAAAUCAUAAUAAAAUCCAUCCAUUACUUCAGACAGAUGAAAACAGUUCCUUCUAAAAAGAGGCUAAUGUUUUUAAAAGACAGUAAGAGAAGAAUGUCAGCUCCCCAUGGCUGCAGUAGAAAGUGCUGGAUGAGAGGAGCAUCUCCAGAGCAUGGAAGACAAAGCAGCUUUAUCCUCAACUUUUCCACCUCAAUUUCCAUUUUCCUCCAAGGCAAAACUCCCACUCCUGGCAGAUUAAAUGAAAUGAAGACACUGAGCUCUGCAAGUACACUGCUUUUUGAAUCCCAGAGUGAACUUGCUUGUCAAAUGCCUCUUUAAAAAGAAAGUGAAGAUAACUGCAAGUCAGCUGGAAGUGCUGCCAAGAUAUGACCUCCAGGAAGGCCCAGAAGACAAGUGAUAUUGUGUGGACUGCUACAGCGCAAUGUCUAACUGAUGCAAAAUGAAGAAUCAAUUUGAAAUUAAGAUGAGUAAAGGCAUCCAGCACUUACAGCAAAAAACAUUGUCAUCAGGCCCUGGGGAGAUGAGGACACCUCCCUUCCCUUCUCAGGCUCCCUUUCCCUGUCAGACUCUAGCUCUCAAAGGCUGUCAUCCUCCAAGGGUAUUCCCUACGUACUGCAUAGCAUCUCUGUUACCCUUUGAAUUCAACAGUAUUCAUCUCCUCCAACAUUCAUUCAUUCCUUUAGUCAAAAGUCAGUUGUCAAACACAAGGCACAAGUGCACAUUUAAGGAAUUCAUGGCCAAUAUUUGUCAUGUCAUUUCAUGAAUUGUCUGAGAAACAUAAAACAUACAAUGAGGAUACUGAUCCAAGAUACAUGGCACACAAUUAAAUUGCGAAAAACAUGACUCUGAGUCCAAAAGUUCUUAUUUUUUCACAGUCUUCAGAGUAUUGUAUAGACCCCUUGAAAAAUAAAUUUGCAGAGUGUGAAUGUUAAUUACUGUCACCUUCAGAAAAGAGAUUUUACACAUGUAUAAAAGAGAAAUAGUGACUAUUCUAGAUUAUAGAGCACAGAAAGAAUUCUCAAACUAGUAUAACCCUAUUUCUCUAUAUCACAAAGACAUCUUGUAGGCAUGUUCCUCUGAAGGACUUGAGAAUUAUGCUUUUUUUCCUCCUUGUCUCUCUAAAAGCAAAAAGCACAGUAAUCUCGCUGAAGUAUAAUCAAAACAGAGCCUGAUGUGAAACCAGAGCCUUGAGUUUUCAUCCUGCAUUUGUUACUUAAAAGCUGACAUAAGAAAAAUUAUUUAACUUCUCUUAACCUCAGUUUCUUAUCUAUAAAAUGGGAUUAUAAAAUGUAUCUCACAAGGUAGUUAUGAGGAUUAAAGGAAAUGAAAAAAUGCUUAUUUGGUUUUGAAUCCUGGUUUGGUCUAGCUAUCAAUAAAACUCAUUAAGAU
ensembl:lncRNA novel transcript